UACGAAGGGGGCUAGCGUUGUUCGGAUUUACUGGGCGUAAAGCGCGUGUAGGCGGGUCGUUAAGAUGGGGGUGAAAUCCCGGAGCUCAACUCCGGAACUGCCUUCAUGACUGGCGGCCUGGACCCAAGGAGAGGCAAGUGGAAUUGCGAGUGUAGAGGUGAAAUUCGUAGAUAUUCGCAGGAACACCAGUGGCGAAGGCGACUUGCUGGACUUGUGGUGACGCUGAGACGCGAAAGCGUGGGGAGCAAACAGG
rnacentral:rRNA from 1 species